rnacentral:rRNA from 1 species
GAUGAACGCUGGCGGCGUGCCUAAUACAUGCAAGUCGAGCGAACAGACGAGGAGCUUGCUCCUCUGACGUUAGCGGCGGACGGGUGAGUAACACGUGGAUAACCUACCUAUAAGACUGGGAUAACUUCGGGAAACCGGAGCUAAUACCGGAUAAUAUAUUGAACCGCAUGGUUCAAUAGUGAAAGACGGUUUUGCUGUCACUUAUAGAUGGAUCCGCGCCGCAUUAGCUAGUUGGUAAGGUAACGGCUUACCAAGGCAACGAUGCGUAGCCGACCUGAGAGGGUGAUCGGCCACACUGGAACUGAGACACGGUCCAGACUCCUACGGGAGGCAGCAGUAGGGAAUCUGCCGCAAUGGGCGAAAGCCUGACGGAGCAACGCCGCGUGAGUGAUGAAGGUCUGCGGAUCGUAAAACUCUGUUAUUAGGGAAGAACAAAUGUGUAAGUAACUAUGCACGUCUUGACGGUACCUAAUCAGAAAGCCACGGCUAACUACGU